CCCCCUAUUUGUAUUAAGCAAUUCUAUAAAUAUAUAGAAGAUAUAAUGUUAAAACUAGUAAUAAGAANAUAGCAUUUCUCUUAAAUGAAAGUAUAAAUCAGAGAGGACACACCACUGAUAAUUAAACGCCUCUGAGUGUAAAACAGCAANCUUCACUAGAAAGCCCUGUUACUUNNNNUAAACGUUAACCUAACACUAGCUCAUUUUAAGAAAGAUUAAAAGAAAAAGAAGGAACUCGGCAAAUAUUAACCCCGCCUGUUUACCAAAAACAUCGCCUCUUGNUAUCAAUAUAAGAGGUCCAGCCUGCCCAGUGACCAAGUUCAACGGCCGCGGUAUCCUAACCGUGCGAAGGUAGCGUAAUCACUUGUUCUUUAAAUGAGGACUAGUAUGAAUGGCAUCACGAGGGUUAUACUGUCUCCUUUUUCUAAUCCAUGAAACUGAUCUUCCCGUGAAGAAGCGGGGAUACUUCUAUAAGACGAGAAGACCCUAUGGAGCUUUAAACCANAGUAGCAUCGGCUAACACANNNUCCUAUAUANNNNNNNNNNAAUAUACAACUUUGAUUAUAGCCUNUCUGACUACUAGUUUUAGGUUGGGGUGACCGCGGAGCAAAAAUUAACCUCCAUGAUGAACAGAGACUNCUCCUGAGCCAAAAGCCACAACUUUAAGCACCAAAACAUUGACAUAAGUUGACCCAAUACUUUGAGCAACGAACCAAGUUACCCUAGGGAUAACAGCGCAAUCUACUUCAAGAGCCCCUAUCGACAAGUGGGUUUACGACCUCNGAUGUUGGAUCAGGGUAUCCUAGUGGUGCAGCCGCUACUAAAGGUUCGUUUGUUCAACGAUUAAAACCCUACGUGAUCUGAGUUCAGACCGGAGCAAUCCAGGUCAGUUUCUAUCUAUAANAGAGCUUUUUCUAGUACGAAAGGACCGNAAAAAACACGGCCAAUACUUAAGGCAUGCCGUNCAACACAAUUUAUGAUUAUCUCUUAAUAAAAANCUNNUCUACUACNNUAAAUUCAAGNNAACAGAA
rnacentral:rRNA from 1 species